UGGGGAAUAUUGCGCAAUGGGGGAAACCCUGACGCAGCAACGCCGCGUGAAGGACGAAGGUUUUCGGAUUGUAAACUUCAGCAAGCAGGGACGAGUAGAAGACGGUACCUGAACAAAAGCCCCGGCUAACUACGUGCCAGCAGCCGCGGUAAUACGUAGGGGGCAAGCGUUGUCCGGAUUUACUGGGUGUAAAGGGCGUGUAGGCGGGAAGAUAAGUCAGAUGUGAAAUGCCGGGGCUCAACCCCGGAACUGCAUUUGAAACUGUCUUUCUUGAGUGUGGGAGAGGGAAGCGGAAUUCCUAGUGUAGCGGUGAAAUGCGUAGAUAUUAGGAGGAACACCAGUGGCGAAGGCGGCUUUCUGGACCAUAACUGACGCUGAGGCGCGAAAGCGUGGGGAGCAAACAGG
rnacentral:rRNA from 1 species